rnacentral:rRNA from 1 species
ACGAAGGGGGCUAGCGUUGUUCGGAAUCACUGGGCGUAAAGCGCACGUAGGCGGGUUUGUAAGUUAGGGGUGAAAUCCCGGGGCUCAACCUCGGAACUGCCCUUGAUACUGCAAGCCUAGAGUCCGAGAGAGGUGAGUGGAAUUCCUAGUGUAGAGGUGAAAUUCGUAGAUAUUAGGAAGAACACCAGUGGCGAAGGCGGCUCACUGGCUCGGUACUGACGCUGAGGUGCGAAAGCGUGGGGAGCAAACAGG